CGAAGGUCCCAAGCGUUAUCCGGAUUUAUUGGGUUUAAAGGGUGCGUAGGCGGGUUAUUAAGUCAGUGGUGAAAGCCUUCAGCUCAACUGAAGAAUUGCCAUUGAUACUGAUGAUCUUGAGUAUGAUUGAGGUGGGCGGAAUGUGUCAUGUAGCGGUGAAAUGCUUAGAUAUGACACAGAACACCGAUUGCGAAGGCAGCUCACUAAGUCAUAACUGACGCUGAUGCACGAAAGCGUGGGGAGCAAACAGGAUUAGAUACCCUGGUAGUCCACGCCCUAAACGAUGAUCACUCGAUGUGUGCGAUACACUGUACGCGUCUGAGCGAAAGCAUUAAGUGAUCCACCUGGGGAGUACGACCGCAAGGUUG
rnacentral:rRNA from 1 species